rnacentral:rRNA from 1 species
GCCAGACUCCUACGGGAGGCAGCAGUGGGGGAUAUUGCACAAUGGGGGGAACCCUGAUGCAGCGACGCCGCGUGGGUGAAGGAGUAUUUCGGUAUGUAAAGCCCUAUCGGCAGGGAAGAAGCAAGACGGUACCUGACUAAGAAGCCCCGGCUAACUACGUGCCAGCAGCCGCGGUAAUACGUAGGGGGCGAGCGUUAUCCGGAUUCACUGGGUGUAAAGGGAGCGUAGACGGCCAUGCAAGCCAGGGGUGAAAGCCCGGGGCCCAACCCCGGGACUGCCCUUGGAACUGCAUGGCUGGAGUGCGGGAGGGGCAGGCGGAAUUCCUGGUGUAGCGGUGAAAUGCGUAGAUAUUAGGAGGAACACCAGUGGCGAAGGCGGCUUACUGGACUGUAACUGACGUUGAGGCUCGAAAGCGUGGGGAGCAAACAGGAUUAGAUACCCUAGUAU